GGUGCUAGAAAUUAGCAGGUGUUGUUUUAAAUUCAUCUCAUGAAUUAAGACAAGCCUUUUCUGAGCUGGACAAGCUUCAAUUAGACUGAGAGAAACCUUCUCAAGAUUCUCUGGAUGAGCCAGAUCACAUUUGGCUCAGUAGAGACAGAAAAGAUUACACGAGAAGAAAGUUAGGCUCAAUCGAGUACUAGCACGAUUUUCUUGAACCUAACUGGAUCUUAUCCAAAUCAAUUGGGAUAGUCCAAUUGAUGACAUCCAGACCCUAACCCUUGUUUGUGUGAUCCAGUUAGGUUCAAUUCUAUAUGGUAAUGAGACAUGUCGUGAUCUCAUCAUCGACAUCAUCGAAACUUCUUUCGAUGGACCAGAACUCUUCUGAUUCAGAUAAUUAGAAUGAUCGAUUAUUAAAAUCAUUCUAAUUGCUCCCAAAAUCCACUAGUGACACCUAGCAGUAUAUGGUAGCAACCCAUCAAAACUGAAGACGAAUCUCUUGGUGCAGCUACCUGUGUGAUUGAGUUCUUCUAUCAUGAGUCCCGACUGAAUUAGGAUUAAGGUGAACUCGUCAAACUCAACAUCAGUCAUAUGAAUCAAUCGAUCGAUCCGAGUCUGAUGUGAAACCCAAUGGAAAACUCUUUUCCAUUAUUUCACUCUGCCAUGACCAUGGGCUUAAGGAUUCGAUCUUUCGAUCAUCAUAGGACUACUCUUCUCAUCUACCGAGGUUGAUAGAUCCCAUCUUGGUGCGAUCUGGUUCCUACAAUGGAUAUGCUACAGCCAACAUACACCUCAGGGUUCCGAAUGACUAGGAGAUCGAGUUAUGGUGUAUUUAAACUAUAACACACUCAAGGUAAACUAUCGAUGCACCUCAGGUCAAAGAACUAGACACACAACUGCAGCAUCGAGCUAGUCAUCGAUGAGAAGGUAGACUUCUUUAUGACUGCUCGAGGUGGUCACGCUCAGUACUCUCGUUCUCAACGAAUACCUGUACUCUCGCUCUGAUGUUUCCAUACCGUAGACUCAAGACUCAUCUAUCCUAAAGAAUCGAUCGUACACCAACCUUCCAGAUCGAUCAUCAUCCUCGUGAUGAUCCUAUGGUCAGGAGUAGUUUAUGAGUUAGUUAUGUAAAUUCAUGCCUUAAAUUUUCAACUCUUGAAAAUAUGAAUUUACAUUUCCACUAACUUAAAGGAUGUAUCACAGACACAAUGUACACAAUGUGAUAGAAGAAUAACCCUUUUAUUCAUUUAUAGUCAAAAUUAUAAAUUUGUCCUUAGUUCUGUACAGGAAUGUGUCAGCCGAUCUGGCAUCUAGGACACACAUCUAACAAACUCCCACUUGACCUAAUGCCAAUUGGCUACAUAUCUAAGUUCCAUCUUCUCAAGGUGGGCUUCGAUCUUCUGUUGGCCCAAUGGCUUAGUCAGCAGGUCUGCCAUAUUGUCUGUGGAGUCGACUCUCUUGACCUCGACAUAACUUUUUUCGAGG
rnacentral:lncRNA from 1 species